GGAUGUGAGGGCGAUCUGGCUGCGACAUCUGUCACCCCAGGGUUGAUUCGGCUGAUCUGGCUGGCUAGGCGGGUGUUCCCUUCCUCCUUCACCACUCCAUGUGUGUCCCCCCCGAAGCUACGCACUUGGUCGAAGAGGAUGACCUUCCCCGAUAGAGGAGAGGACCGUUCUUCAGUCAAAGGUAUACCAGUAGCUGCGCUCCCCUGCAAACAAGGUCUCAAGAUAAAAAAAUACUUUAUUGUCUUUUUCCCAUUAUGAUCGAAUACGUGUUU
rnacentral:snRNA from 1 species